AUUGAACGCUGGCGGCAUGCCUUACACAUGCAAGUCGAACGGCAGCACGGGAGCAAUCCUGGUGGCGAGUGGCGAACGGGUGAGUAAAGUAUCGGAACGUGCCCAGUCGUGGGGGAUAACGUAGCGAAAGUUACGCUAAUACCGCAUACGAUCUAUGGAUGAAAGCGGGGGAUCGCAAGACCUCGCGCGAUUGGAGCGGCCGAUAUCAGAUUAGGUAGUUGGUGGGGUAAAGGCUCACCAAGCCGACGACCUGUAGCUGGUCUGAGAGGACGACCAGCCACACUGGGACUGAGACACGGCCCAGACUCCUACGGGAGGCAGCAGUGGGGAAUUUUGGACAAUGGGCGCAAGCCUGAUCCAGCCAUGCCGCGUGCAGGAUGAAGGCCUUCGGGUUGUAAACUGCUUUUGUACGGAACGAAAAGAUUUGACUUAAUACGUUGGACUCAUGACGGUACCGUAAGAAUAAGCACCGGCUAACUACGUGCCAGCAGCAGCCGCGG
rnacentral:rRNA from 1 species